AGGGCCGACCUGAAUAGGCUUCUCUUGAUACAAAUCACUUGAACUCAAAGUCUGAAUAGGUUUGAACCAAGCCUGGAUUGAAACAGAACCUCUUUGAUGAUCCUUUUAAUUUUACUUUCUUGAUUCUUGAAGAAAUCAAGAAUCUUUUCUUGAUUUUUCAACUAAUCAAGAAGAACAACAAUUAAGAAGUGGUUGUAACUAACUCUCAACAAACUUGAGAGCAAAGAGAACAAGAACCAAACAAGUGGCACCAACUAAUUGACAUCACUCUUAUGUGCCGCCCACCCCUUUUUGGCUCCAAGGGAGGACAUCAAGAGAGAGAAGAGGCCUGGG
rnacentral:lncRNA from 1 species